rnacentral:misc_RNA from 1 species
GAGAAACGAGAGGGGCUGGAUGAAAGUUUGGAAGAGAGGGGAAUAGGGGAGGAGGGGUGGUUGCUAUCAAUCACACAGGCUGGAUGAAAGCCACGCGGUCGGCUCUGUGUCACGCCAUUGUGAAAUACCAGCUGAAAUUCGAGCGCGAAUCGUCCGAAAUUUUGGAAUUUUAAUUCAACGGCUAGAAAAUCGCUGGCUAUUCGACGGAUCGACCGGUAUUGUCUGCUGUCCGCGACACGUACGGAUGCCUGGAAAUGAUUAUUUGCUGGCUGUAUGGUGUUUCGAUGAGAUAUGGCUGAAUGGAAAUUUCAGGGGCGAGCCAUAGGUAUGGAUUGAUUGGCGGUGGAACACCAACAUUAGACCAAGUCGUAAAACCCUGCCUGGACAAUUUACGAGGCAGCAACUCUUGCAGCUGGAGUUGUUUACCGCGCCUUUUUCGCGUAUACAUCGCGACACACGAGAGGCCCACGGUACGACUACAUAGCCUCGUACGAUUCCGCGAGGAUGCAUUUUGGCUGCCCUAGAAUUAACCUGGCGUGGGGCCCGCAGAAAAAUUGCAGGGUAGCAAAAGCUGAGGAACGCGGCGACCGUAGGAGAUGAAGAGAAGAGAAACGAGGAUAUUAAGUGUGGGAAAGGCGAAGCUGGCCCACAUGACGCGAGAAAAGUAGUCCUCGUGAUCCUUUCUAAAGUGGGAAUCACGUUUCUUUUUAUUUCUUUAUAAUGCACAUUGCUUUAGAUAUUUUGUAUACACACGAUCCGGUCGAAUAUACAGACGGCAUUCAGUUGAUUUCUUGCGAAAAAGUAAGGAGAAAGUAUAGAAUAAGAUUUUUUCGUCCGAGUCUCGGUUUUCGAAAACAUCGAGUUUAAAAAUUUUUCGAGUGAAAACAUCUUGUCCAAUAUUUUCUUUUCAUUGUUUCAAAAGGAAUUACCUCGUUGUUAUUCGGCCAGAUUUUGUAUUAUGUGCAUUCUUAUGUGCACUCGCCUGAUCUUCGCCAGCAAAUAUCCC